AGAAGACGCUAUAAACAGGAAACAGGGGCCCUCUCUGGUUUCGUCUCAUUGCCCCCAGGAAGAGACAACCCCAUUUCACCUGUACAGGUGCUGAUAUACAGCUCAUAUCACAACUGGCCUUGGCUGGUGCAGCCUGAGUGGAAUACCUCUGAGCAAAUUUUACCGCCUGCUUUGAAGUUCAAAGUGACCCCCCCACCCCACCUCCACUCUUUCGUCUAUUCUGGGUGGUGCCAGAUGUGACCUGGGCAGAAUCGUUGAGCGAGCGCACCUUUCAUGGUAAUGAGGUAAGAGUUAUGGUCCGCCCGGAGCCAAAAGGUCUGCCUGGAACACAACGAGAAGAACACCUUGGAAACUUCGACCUGACAGCACAGAGCAAAGUCUGGCUCUGGUGCACUGAAAGACUUUUAUUAAAACAAUGUGUGUAUGUGUGUGUGUGUGUGUGUGUGUGUGUGUGUGUGUGUGUGUGUGUGUGUGUGUGUGUGUGUGUGUGUGUGAGUAAAACAACAGGAGAUAUGUAAUUUUGUUUAAGGCCACAUGGCCCCAUCUGAAAUUGAUUUACACCACUCAGAUAGUAACUGCAUCUUUGCUCAGGGAUUCAAGUUUGUCCUCACUUGAAUUCAUCACUUUUCAUCGCCGUGACAGACAAUGAAGGCAACGUCACUGAACUGCAUCCAGUGUUUUGCUACUGUCCACUUUAUUGCCCUGUUCAAACUCAAUUCUCAGCACCAUAAUCUUGCUGAAACAAACUAAAUGGUCGUUUAACAAUGUUGUGAAAUCAAAACAUCAUGAUGACAAUUUCUCCGGUUUAUUUUUCACCUUACUAUAAAUAAUGCAUCCUCAGUGGAUGUGUUGUUUCAUAUUCCUUGAAUGAUGGCACCACCUUCAGGUAGAGAGUCGUACAUGCACUUUUUCGCAUGUACUCGCCAACAAUGACAUCUGGCUGACUUUGGGACGUGGCGCUGCACCAUCUGAAGACAGUCUGAGAGCGUCAGGGUUUUUCGGUUUUGUGAUAUAAAAAAUGUCUGCUGAAAUAAAUCGUGCAUUCAGGCAGGAGUCACUGGAAGGAGACCAACUGGAGAGAGAGAAUGGAGAUAGGAAGAGGGAAGGAGAGAGGGGAAGCUUGCUGUCUAUUGAAUGCGUCUCAUGCUGCAGUGAAGAGGCGGUGGGUGUUAACCCAGAACAAAUUAAUCCGAGAAACCAUGAUGUCAUGUAAACCACAUUCAUUUGGUUGGGUUUGUAAUUUCCUUAUCUGUUAUAUUGUUUCCCUAAUCUUGUAAUUGUACAAUGCGUUUCUUCAUCUUUGAGGUAGGUCUUGCAAUUUGAUUUUGAAAGACUGACAACCCAACCCACAUGUAAUAGACAUUAAGAGUCAUGACACAAAAAAUGAUAGUUUUUUAUCAUGUUAUUAAAUUGAC